rnacentral:rRNA from 1 species
UGGCGCACGGGUGCGUAACGCGUGGGAACCUGCCCUUAGGUUCGGAAUAACUCAGAGAAAUUUGAGCUAAUACCGGAUAAUGUCUUCGGACCAAAGAUUUAUCGCCUUUGGAUGGGCCCGCGUUGGAUUAGCUUGUUGGUGGGGUAAAAGCCUACCAAGGCGACGAUCCAUAGCUGGUCUGAGAGGAUGAUCAGCCACACUGGGACUGAGACACGGCCCAGACUCCUACGGGAGGCAGCAGUGGGGAAUAUUGGACAAUGGGCGCAAGCCUGAUCCAGCAAUGCCGCGUGAGUGAUGAAGGCCUUAGGGUUGUAAAGCUCUUUUACUAGGGAUGAUAAUGACAGUACCUAGAGAAUAAGCUCCGGCUAACUCCGUGCCAGCAGCCGCGGUAAU